CCUACGGGCGGCAGCAGUGAGGAAUAUUGGUCAAUGGACGAGAGUCUGAACCAGCCAAGUAGCGUGAAGGAUGACUGCCCUAUGGGUUGUAAACUUCUUUUAUAAAGGAAUAAAACGAGGCACGUGUGCCUUUUUGCAUGUACUUUAUGAAUAAGGAUCGGCUAACUCCGUGCCAGCAGCCGCGGUAAUACGGAGGAUCCGAGCGUUAUCCGGAUUGAAUGGGUUUAAAGGGAGCGUAGAUGGGUUGUUAAGUCAGUUGUGAAAGUUUGCGGCUCAACCGUAAAAUUGCAAUUGAUACUGGUAGUCUUGAGUACAGUUGAGGUAGGCGGAAUUCGUGGUGUAGCGGUGAAAUGCUUAGAUAUCACGAAGAACCCCGAUUGCGAAGGCAGCUUACUAAACUGUGACUGACAUUGAUGCUCGAAAGUGUGGGUAUCAAACAGGAUUAGAUACCCCUGUAGUC
rnacentral:rRNA from 1 species